rnacentral:rRNA from 1 species
AUUGAACGCUGGCGGCAGGCUUAACACAUGCAAGUCGAACGCGUGGCGGACGGGUGAGUAAUGCUUGGGAAUCUAGCUUAUGGAGGGGGAUCACUACGGGAAACUGUAGCUAAUACCGCGUACCCUAAGAUGCGCCCAUGUGGGAUUAGUUUGUUGGUGAGGUAAAGGCUCACUAAGGCGACGAUCUCUCGCUGGUCUGAGAGGAUGACCAGCCACACUGGGACUGAGACACGGCCCAGACUCCUACGGGAGGCAGCAGUGGGGAAUAUUGCGCAAUGGGGGCAACCUGACGCAGCCAUGCCGCGUGAAUGAAGAAGGCCUUCGGGUUGUAAAGUUCUUUCGGUAGCGAGGCGUUAACGACAGAAGAAGCACCGGCUAACUCCGUGCCAGCAGCCGCGGUAAUAC